CCUACGGGUGGCAGCAGUGGGGAAUAUUGCACAAUGGGCGAAACCCUGAUCCAGCGACGCCGCGUGAGUGAAGAAGUAAUUCGUUAUGUAAAGCUCUAUCAGCAGGGAAGAAAAUGACGGUACCUGAGUAAGAAGCCCCGGCUAACGACGUGCCAGCAGCCGCGGUAAUACGUAGGGGGCAAGCGUUAUCCGGAUUUACUGGGUGGAAAGGGAGCGUAGACGGCAGUGCAAGUCUGGAGUGUAAGGCGGGGGCUCAACCCCCGGACUGCUCUGGAAACGGUACGGCUGGAGUGCAGGAGAGGUAAGUGGAAUUCCUGGUGUAGCGGUGAAAUGCGUAGAUAUUAGGAGGAACACCAGUGGCGAAGGCGGCUUACUGGACUGUAACUGACGUUGAGGCUCGAAAGCGUGGGGAGCAAACAGGAUUAGAUACCCGUGUAGUC
rnacentral:rRNA from 1 species